CUUAACUUGCAAAUGAAAAAUAUUUUCAGUUGCAUUCAUAUUUGCGCAUUCACAAAGUGUUAAUUGUUUGGUUGGUAACUGUUUUAAUUCAUUAAGAAAUACCUAUCCGAAUGGUAUUUGCGUGCAAUUAGUGACGCUAAAAAGAUGAUUCGUUUUGAAUAAUUGAAAGGUGUCCGUACAUUUUGAUUGGGUGCACAAAUAAGUUUUGAGAGAUUUGUUAAGGGAAAUUCAAUAUCGUUUGCUUUGUCAGUAAAGUUUAUUUUUGUGCAGAUACCUAUAUUUCGGAAACGAGAGGAGCAACUGCAGAUUGUUUUCGUUGUUGAAAUCUUCUCAUCUUAUUGAGGCCACAAAUUGAAAAGUGAACAAGAUCCGCUGGCGUAGAGAGGAAGUUGCUCCUGAACUUUACCUUGCAGAUUCUACUCGCAUCGCACCGUAUUAAGGACACACAAAGUGUUAUUAAUGACGUAUGAGGGGUGGUGUAUUCAAAAACACCCCCCC